CCUGCUACCUUGAGUUCCCACUCAGUUCCCGCUGAGUUUCCCCCGCAAUAAAGCAGUUCCCGCUUCAACCUUCAAGUUGCUUGUCAUCUCCCGGUUAUUUUGCCCAGCCGGACUGCAGCACCCUCCCCCAUACACUCCCGUGCACCACACAAACACACCUUUCCUCUCCUCAUCUUGUAAAUAUCACAAUAUUUAAUUAAAUCAAUAGUGUUUAUAUUAGUAUGACUAUAGAAGGUGCUAUUAAUACACACACACACACACACACACACACACACACACACACUCAUCGUGGGAAGGGUACUUAGCUCUAAGUGUGCAAUCAGGGACACAUUUCCAGAACAAGUGACAGAGAAUGUGAGCUUAACAAGCAAGCCUAAGAUAGCAAGAGGAUUGGGGGGGUUGUGCAUGGACAGGUAGAGCAAAAGAGGAGACCUCAGUGCACAGGCCCAGAGAAUGAAGGAAAGCAAGGUCCCCUGAGGAGGCUGAGAGAAGGCAGUGGGUGGGGAGCAGUGAGCGACAGCUGGGAGGUCAACAGGGAGUCACCUGCACUCAGAAAAGUGGGAACCUGGAGGAGGAGGAUGCAGAGUUGUGUGGAGACCAGAUUUGUAUUUGGGGAGGUCUAUGGUACCCCUUGGGGAUGGAUGGGAGGGGUGGCCCAGAAACGGUUACCUGGGUAAGAAAUGACACUGGCCUGGAGGUGGCAGUCAGGGAGCCCCAAGCAUCUGGUCAGAGGGGAAUGCCAAUCAUGAGAGUGAAGGGGAAAAGUCUGGCUUAAACAGAAGGAAGAUGAGCCUGAGGUUCCUGUGGGAUAUGUGGGGCUGAAGCUGAAGGGGGCAAAAAGCAGGGCUGAAACAAGGUGGAGAAUUUUUUUUUUUUAAUUAAUAGUUGGUUUCAGAACUUCUGUUAAGAAAUUGACUUUGUGUGGGAAAUGUCGUGCUAAGAGCUUGCUAAGAUCUUGCUUUAGAUGGUGAAACUCCCACUCUCCAGGGGCCCAGUCAGAUCUUGAGAUUCAGAGGAGAUGAAGAUGCUUCAGAUGAUGGGGAGGACUUAGGAGUUGCCAGAACAAAUUAAAGGUAGGAAAGAGAAACUUGGAAGGAAAGAAAGCAAGAUGGUGGGAGGCUGGGCAAGGCCCAACAAGACCUCCAGACUUGGAAUACCACUCUCCUCCAAAAUCCUUGGCACAAUCUAAUGACCCCACAGUGGAGUGUGAUUAAAUUGUGAGAAAAGCAAAGAAAAGGUUUAGGUGUCCAUCAGACUCAAUCUGGUGCAGACAGGCAGCACACAAGGAAGCCAGAUACGAAGAGAAGAUGAGGCCCGAGUUCCUGGGAAUCAGAAGAAACCUGGAGAAGCCUUGAGUUCUGCCAUUUGUGAGAUUGAUGGCUGCCUAGAUUUCAAGAGGAUAGGGACCCCUAGCUGAAUUGUGCCAGGGUGACAUGGAGUGGACAAGGUCCCCAGAUUGGGGUAGAAAGAGAAGUUUAGGAGGUCUAAGCCAGCUAAGGCCUGUGUAUGUGAGCUGCCCGGAGAGAGCAGAUCCACAGAUGGAGAGGAAAGGGAAGAUUUCAAGGGAGAAAAGACCCAAAACUUUAAGUGGUACAAAGAGGCUGAGAAUGAAGAAAACUGAAGAGAGUCCGCUGGCUCUUGUGAGGAGUUGGCAGGGCCUGAGGGGAGAGCUGCUGUCUCCCCAGAUUCAUCUAUUGAAAUCCUAACCUCAAAGUAUUAGGAAGUAGAACUUUUCGGAAUUGAUUAGGUCAAAGGAUGGGACCCUCAGGAAUGGGGUUGGUGCCCAUAUUAAAGGAUUCCAGGUAUCUCUCUCUCCUCCUCCUCCCUCUGCUCUCCACCAUGUGAGGAUAUAAUGAGGAAUCAGCAAAUCUGAAGCCCAGAAGAGGAUCCCCACUGGACCUGACUGUGCAGGCCCCCCAUAUCCACCACAGACCUCCUUUCUGAUGGGUUCAAGAGGCCCCACUACACUUCUGAUGGAGACUAUGGACUCCAGCAAAUGCCCAAGCUUCCUUCUCUGUGCCAGGGCCUGCAUUUCCCAAGACUCUGAACCCACUUGCCAAGAGGUUCCAGCAGCAUCAAAGGACCCAAUCUGUAUUUCAUCACAGAGACAAAAAGCUGACCAAUAUAUGGGGCAUCGUGUUGCAGUAUAAUCAUUUAGUGUGAUGAGAACACUGGGCCUUGAUGACAUUCCUGACCAUUGGACCAAGGCUUCUCUGAGGGCACCCUGAAUCCAGACCAUUUGUUCUCAGCUCUGGCUACACAUUACAAGAACCUGAUCAGCUUCCAAAAACAGCCAUGCCUCAGCCCCACACCAGGCCUAUAAAACCAAAAUCUCUGGGAAGGAGCCCCACAUUAGGAGUUGUCAAAGCUCAUCAGAGGAUUCUAAUGGCAGCCCGACCACCCUGGACCACUGUUUUUUAAACUAUUUGUGAUAAUAGUGAUUUUAUUUUUUAUUUCCAGUCUUUCUGUUGUUAUUUUCUUGACUAAUACUUCCAUAAAUUACGGUAAAAUUGAAUUAUAAGGCUUGUAGAGAUUUCCCAUAUGAAAAAAAAAAUGUACUCUCAUCACCUCUUUUCUUCUUUUGUUCCAAUUAGUUAUACAUGACAGCAGAAUGCAUUUCAACUCAUCAUACACAAA